rnacentral:rRNA from 1 species
GAUGAACGCUGGCGGCGUGCCUAAUACAUGCAAGUCGAGCGAAUGGAUUAAGAGCUUGCUCUUAUGAAGUUAGCGGCGGACGGGUGAGUAUCACGUGGGUAACCUGCCCAUAAGACUGGGAUAACUCCGGGAAACCGGGGCUAAUACCGGAUAACAUUUUGAACCGCAUGGUUCGAAAUUGAAAGGCGGCUUCGGCUGUCACUUAUGGAUGGAACCGGGUCGCAUUAGCUAGUUGGUGAGGUAACGGCUCGCCAAGGCAACGAUGCGUAACCGACCUGAGAGGGUGAUCGGCCACACUGGGACGGAGACACGGCCCAGACUCCUACGGGAGGCAGCAGUAGGGAAUCUUCCGCGAUGGACGAAAGUCUGACGGAGCAACGCCGCGUGAGUGAUGAAGGCUUUCGGGUCGUAAAACUCUGUUGUUAGGGAAGAACAAGUGCUAGUUGAGUAAGCUGGCGCCUUGACGGUACCUAACCAGAAAGCCACGGCUAACUACGUGCCAGCCGCCGCGGUAA